rnacentral:rRNA from 1 species
UACAGAGGUCUCAAGCGUUGUUCGGAUUCAUUGGGCGUAAAGGGUGCGUAGGUGGCGCCGUAAGUCAGGUGUGAAAUUUCGGAGCUUAACUCCGAAACUGCAUUUGAUACUGCGGUGCUUGAGGACUGGAGAGGAGACUGGAAUUCACGGUGUAGCAGUGAAAUGCGUAGAUAUCGUGAGGAAGACCAGUGGCGAAGGCGGGUCUCUGGACAGUUCCUGACACUGAGGCAGCGAAGGCUAGGGAGCGAACGGG